AGUGAACGCUGGCGGUAGGCCUAACACAUGCAAGUCGAACGGCAGCACAGUAAGAGCUUGCUCUUACGGGUGGCGAGUGGCGGACGGGUGAGGAAUACAUCGGAAUCUACUUUUUCGUGGGGGAUAACGUAGGGAAACUUACGCUAAUACCGCAUACGACCUACGGGUGAAAGCAGGGGAUCUUCGGACCUUGCGCGAUUGAAUGAGCCGAUGUCGGAUUAGCUAGUUGGCGGGGUAAAGGCCCACCAAGGCGACGAUCCGUAGCUGGUCUGAGAGGAUGAUCAGCCACACUGGAACUGAGACACGGUCCAGACUCCUACGGGAGGCAGCAGUGGGGAAUAUUGGACAAAGGGCGCAAGCCUGAUCCAGCCAUACCGCGUGGGUGAAGAAGGCCUUCGGGUUGUAAAGCCCUUUUGUUGGGAAAGAAAAGCAGCAGGUUAAUACCCCGCCGUUCUGACGGUACCCAAAGAAUAAGCACCGGCUAACUUCGUG
rnacentral:rRNA from 1 species